rnacentral:sRNA from 1 species
UUCAGAUCAUUUAAAAUAACUCCAAGAUGGCAAAAUGCUCAUGCUUAUGUGAAUGCUGCUUUCCGAUUGCCAGCAGUUGGGCGUGACAUCAAGGGGAGACCAUCGUUGGUUUAUGGUGGAAUUAAUGCUGAUACUGAACAUGCACUAAAGACUGAAGAGUUUCUAACCAACAAAACAUUAUCUGAUGCUAUUGUUCAAGAGGCACUAACCAUACUGUCCAAUGAAUUGAAUCCUGAAUAUGAUCAAGUACUAUCUUCUCCAAAAUAUAGGAAAGAUUUAUCUAUAUCAUUGCUCUACAAGGU